rnacentral:rRNA from 1 species
GUCUACAGCCAUACCACCCUGAACACGCCCGAUCUCGUCUGAUCUCAGAAGGUAAGCAGGGUCGGGCCUGGUUAGUACUUGGAUGGAAGAAUUAUAGCUUAUGAUAUAAU